GCUUCCUCUUUCUGGCAAAACCAAGUUAGCUGAGGUUGUAACCAUACUUGAAGAGAAGAGACAAAAAUGGAGAAGGCAGAGGUGGUGACCACUCCAUCCUAGGUCCUGCCACAGAUGGGCUUGACCCCUCCUGCUCCACUUCCAGUUGACUAUCCCACUUCAAACUUCUAUUUCAGUUGGGAUUGGAGGAGGGUAAAGUCACUGAAGCCCAACAGUUCCCAGAAUUCUGACACGGAGGCAUGUGCCUAUGAGAUCUUCUUUUCAGGCCUCCAUCCUUCCUGGCCCACCUUUAGUACUGAGGAAUUACAGCAGAAAACAUGAAGAAUUGGUGCUUGCUGACUUGCCUGGGAUUGUAAGUUGUAUCCUGGUACUCUGAGCCUCAUGGAUUUGGGAAGGGAAAUUCUCCCUCAAUGGAACGACUUCCAUCCAAGACUGUUCUGCUCUUCAUCUCCAGAAAGAAGCAAAGGACCUCAAAUCUCAGCAUGUACACCAGUAGGAUCAGGCUGAACAGUUUCAAGCAUUGUGUUUCAGUCCUCAGAGCCACCAUACAAGGUACAGUCUGUUUUUUGAACAAAUGGCACAAUUGAGUCAUGGUGAAGUCAACCUUGUGGAUAAGAAGAAGGAUUAACUCUGGCCCUUGGUAGAGCACUGAUCUCGUAUGAUCAAGGCCCUGGAUCUAACUAUGGGAAAUGAAAAAGAAAUUUCAAACAUAAAGACACACACAAACAAUUUAGAACUACCAAUGCAGCUACUUUCAACUUCCCUGUACCUUCCUGAAAUGUUUCAAAUGUAAUAUUGAAACUGA
rnacentral:lncRNA from 1 species